GGUUAAGUUAGUAAGGGCGCACGGUGGAUGCCUUGGCACUAGGAGCCGAAGAAGGACGUGACAAACGACGAAAUGCCUCGGGGAGCUGUAAGUAAGCGACGAUCCGUGGAUAUCCGAAUGGGGGAACCCAACAGGUAAUGCCUGUUACCCAUAUCUGUUAAGGAUAUGAGGAGGAAGACGCAGUGAACUGAAACAUCUAAGUAGCUGCAGGAAGAGAAAGCAAAAGCGAUUGCCUUAGUAGCG
rnacentral:rRNA from 1 species